rnacentral:tRNA from 1 species
UCUCUGGUGGCUCAGAUGGUAAAGAAUCUGCCUACAAUGCAGGAGGCCCAGGUUCGAUCCCUGGGUUGGGAA